rnacentral:rRNA from 1 species
CAGUAGCCGCGGGAAUACGGAGGGUGCAAGCGUUAAUCGGAAUUACUGGGCGUAAAGCGUGCGUAGGCGGUUAUAUAAGACAGAUGUGAAAUCCCCGGGCUCAACCUGGGACCUGCAUUUGUGACUGUAUAGCUAGAGUACGGUAGAGGGGGAUGGAAUUCCGCGUGUAGCAGUGAAAUGCGUAGAUAUGCGGAGGAACACCGAUGGCGAAGGCAAUCCCCUGGACCUGUACUGACGCUCAUGCACGAAAGCGUGGGGAGCAAACAGGAUUAGAUACCCCAGUAGUCCCUGUCUCUUAUAC